GCGUCAGUAUUGCAAUGGGUUAGAGCACGCGCUUCCGGAUAGAGUGAGAUGUGGGUUUGAGUCCCGCCUGACGCG